rnacentral:lncRNA from 1 species
AUGGGGCAUCCCCUCCAUGGAUCGGCUUGUCAUGUGACGUUGGCAGCUGAUGCUUCUCACAGGCUAGCUCAGACAUGGCCUCUCCUGCCAUACCCUCAGGAUGCUGGAGCUCCUUGGGAGCCCCAAAGCUAUGAGUGGUCUCCUUUCCCUGGGUGGGACAUUUCUGUGGAGCUGCCGCGAGAGGUCCUGCCCCACACUGGUGGUGCCCCUUGCAGAUGGAAUGGUUACCUGGGGAGGCUUCGUGGUCUUGGGCAGCGUGGCAGGAGGUGGUUGCACUUUGCACGUGUCCGGCUGCAUGGCGGUUACCUGGGGAGGCUUCGUGGUCUUGGGCAGCGUGGCAGGAGGUGGUUGCACUUUGCACGUGUCCGGCUGCAUGGCGGUUACCUGGGGAGGCUUCGUGGUCUUUGGCAGCGUGGCAGGAGGUGGUUGCACUUUGCACGUGUCCGGCUGCGUGGCGGUUACGUGGGGAGGCUUCGUGGUCUUGGGCAGCGUGGCAGGAGGUGGUUGCACUUUGCACGUGUCCGGCUGCGUGGCGGUUACCUGGGGAGGCUCCGCGGUCUUGGGCAGCGUGGCAGGAGGUGGUUGCACUUUGCAUGUGUCCGGCUGCGUGGCGGUUACGUGGGGAGGCUUCGUGGUCUUUGGCAGCGUGGCAGGAGGUGGUUGCACUUUGCACGUGUCCGGCUGCGUGGCGGUUACCUGGGGAGGCUUCGUGGUCUUUGGCAGCGUGGCAGGAGGUGGUUGCACUUUGCACGUGUCCGGCUGCGUGGCGGUUACCUGGGGAGGCUUCGUGGUCUUGGGCAGCGUGGCAGGAGGUGGUUGCACUUUGCACGUGUCCGGCUGCGUGGCGGUUACCUGGGGAGGCUUCGUGGUCUUGGGCAGCGUGGCAGGAGGUGGUUGCACUUUGCACGUGUCCGGCUGAGUGGCGGUUACCUGGGGAGGCUCCGCGGUCUUGGGCAGCGUGGCAGGAGAAGGUGGCAUUUUGUACACAACAGGCCGCGUGACGGUUACCUGGGGAGGUUCCAUGGCUGA